AUGGAGCUGGAUUCUAAACAGAAAGUCUCCGCUGACUGUGUUCUUCAAGCUGCAAAGACACAUCAAGAUUCAAUGAUUUUUGAAAACCAUGGAAGCAGAGGUACUGCCCAGCCUUGCCCAAGAUGUAUUGCUGGAGAAUCUAUAAAAGAAAAACAUGACUGCUUCUGCACCGAUAGCUUGCUCUUGCAGAGAAGAGAGGCUCUCUUUGGCUCCCAGUUCCAGGUAGGAAAGUUUGCUAGUUUGGACAUAAUGCCACACGAAGGCAGGACAGGAGCAGCUGGAAUCAUGUUUCAGUAUAGCUGAGUUCACAUUAUGUUGAGCUCAGAAGACUAUCUUGAUAUAAGCUGGCUUGUGUGAGUGUGUUUGCAUUCAGAGCAUAAAUUUGCUCAUAACUAUCUACAUACGAGUAAUGAACUAAUCUUAUAGAUUUGUUCAUUCUGUUCUCUUUGGAUAAUCAGUUGUUUGUAGUCAUCAUAACAAAUGAUAUAGUUAUACUUUGAUAAAUUUGUUAGGAACUACAUUAGUAAAUUAUUUCAUUCUUAAAAUAAUACAAAGCUUAUAUUAAGCAGAUAGUGCUUAGUAAACUGGUAUUAGCUCAGAUUACUUUCUUAAGUUAAAAUUUCACUUCAGGAAAAUCGGAGACUAUCACAGUAGUUAACACAUCAUGGAAACCAUUUGGAACAGCCAAAAUGAACAUGAGAGAGGAGCCUACAGGCAGAAAAAGAUUAACAAUGUUGCCAUUUAUUUUCAUAAUCAAUAACAGUGUGAAAAUUCUGAUAAGAAGCUGUGUUUUCUACAGACGAUAGGGAAAUUCAAAUAAAUAAAGCAUCCAAAUUGGGUCA
rnacentral:lncRNA from 1 species